rnacentral:rRNA from 1 species
UACGUAGGGGGCAAGCGUUGUCCGGAAUCAUUGGGCGUAAAGAGCGUGUAGGCGGCUCGGUAAGUCCGCUGUGAAAGUCCAGGGCUCAACCCUGGAAUGCCGGUGGAAACUGUCGAGCUAGAGUCCGGAAGAGGCGAGUGGAAUUCCUGGUGUAGCGGUGAAAUGCGUAGAUAUCAGGAGGAACACCGAUGGCGAAGGCAGGUCUCUGGGCUGACACUGACGCUCAUGCACGAAAGCGUGGGGAGCAAACAGG